ACAUGUUAAAAAAAUCCUCAGAAAACACAAAGCCAAGAGAUGGCUAAUGAGACCGAUCCAGAAUUGAGGGUUAAUGACUGAAAAAUACUCCAACCAGUUCUAAGACCCUUACGAAGUACAACACUGACCGAAAUCUUUCAUAUCCUUAAUGCAGAUCCAAGGAGGAGUGCGUUUUUGGGCGAAACAGAGAUACAGG